CUCUCCCUUUCUAGCCAAUGGCUAGCGGUUGGCUCUACAGAUUCCACCCUGGAGGCGGAGCUACUGGCCUGAGCCGUUAGAACGCAUGCGUCGCCCAGGGAGAGUGAAGUACCAGUAUAGAGAUAGAAAAAGUUAAGAGUCGCCACUGGGCCGGAAGAUAUCAAUAGCCAUUUUUGCCUUUUCGUAUCCCAAAAAACAUUAAAUUUCAGAGAUGAAAUAAUUCGGNACUUAUAGUGUUUCGAGACGGGGCAAGGCAGAAUCCAGAGCAUGUAUAUUUGUGUAUAAGUUAAACCCAAUAGCGNUACUAUAGGACAAAGUGCUUUGCACCAUAGAGAUAAGAAGGAUAAGAGCGUCAGUACAAGUUUUCAGUGGCUCCAUUAUAACUUUUGAUUGGCCUGCCAAAAUCACGCGAUGCGUGACGUAAUUNCUCGAUGUGUGUAAUAUAUUCCGAUUGAAAAGGAGAAGAGCGGGGGGCNUGGACAGACUUUUGUGCAUGCGCAGUAAAGUGUUAGCGAGUAGAGAGUGUGGGAACGUGAUUGAUUUUGCAGGUCGUAGAAGUUGCGCAUGUGUAGCAGACCAACUUGUUCUGCUGCGUAUCUUAAUAAGGCAUUCCAGGGCUUCGUUCUAAAAACACAUCUUGGCGGUGACUGUUCUCCUGGGCACCGUUCCAGCACAUUAGCAGGCAGGGCAGGAGAGCCUCNGCAGGCUCCAGCCGCAAGCUCAGGCCUCGUUCAGCUGUCGGAUCGGCCUGCCCGUUUCCACUUCGCUGGAAAGAUUUGCUGCUGAUACCCCCCCUCGCCCCAACAGCGCCUGUUCUCCCAGCCGCCCCUUGGCAUGGGUCACUCUUGGCUCCAAGUGAUGUUUGCUCUGAUGGCUGUGGCUCCCGGAUGCGGCCGAGGCCAUGUGCCUGCAUCAGAGGUCCCUGACGCCCACGGGCAGGCGCAGAGCCCGCAGGAGGAGAGCACAGCAGUGCCGCAGGAAGGCUCCCACGUGAUGCCCCGGUACAGCAGCUGCAUGUUCCGCUGUGUCGACCAUGCGAUGCGCGAUAUGCUCAAGAGCAUGCUCACAACCAGGGCCAGGCUCUCCCUGAUGCUCAACGAAGGCAGUGAAGGAGAGGANCANGACUUUUGUUGGCUGCUGCACCUCCGCAGCCAGAAAGGAGAAAGACUCACCAAAGCUUUCGUCCUGCUGAACCCGGAGCCAAACCCCGACGGAGGUCAACCNCCUUCCUACCGGAUACGUGUCACUAUUCCUUCCGCUGAACCCCAAUACGUGCAGGCCCAGCCAAAGAAGCNUAUCAUAAGGCUGCUAAACGGAGAAGCCUGCGGUGUCCGCUACGACGUGACGGAGCCCUUCCGNGGGGCAGAGGCAGGCCCGGAUGCCAAAAUGUGCGUCAAAGCUGUGUGUUUGGACGAAGACCUUUGCAGGGCGUUGAGACUGGGCAUGCACUGCCCGCCUUUCUUAGCUACUUUAUGGCGUAGCUUGCCCCGGCCUGAUGGCUAGAUCCCAAGAAAGUGCGGGGUAGAGGGGGAAUAGGAAAAUGCAGGCGCNCACACAUUCCAGUUCUGCUGCCGGUUACAUCAAACAAAUGACACUGUGACAGACUUCACCGUAGCAAUAAAUCUUUUUAACUGGCAUUUGAGCUUCA
ensembl:lncRNA